rnacentral:rRNA from 1 species
AGUGAACGCUGGCGGCAGGCCUAAUACAUGCAAGUCGAACGGCAGCACAGUGGAGCUUGCUCCAUGGGUGGCGAGUGGCGGACGGGUGAGGAAUACAUGGGAAUCUGCCCAGUCGUGGGGGGAUAACGUAUGGAAACGUACGCUAAUACCGCAUGCGCCCUUCGGGGGAAAGUCGGGGACCGCAAGGCCUGACGCGAUUGGAUGAGCCCAUGUUCGAUUAGCUAGUUGGCGGGGUAACGGCCCACCAAGGCGACGAUCGAUAGCUGGUCUGAGAGGAUGAUCAGCCACACUGGAACUGAGACACGGUCCAGACUCCUACGGGAGGCAGCAGUAGGGAAUAUUGGACAAUGGGCGCAAGCCUGAUCCAGCCAUGCCGCGUGAGUGAAGAAGGCCCUCGGGUUGUAAAGCUCUUU